CAGGCCUAACACUGCAAGGUCGAGGCAAGAAAAGAGGUGGCCUAUAUCCCCGAGAUAAAUAGGCCCACGGGUACAUAACACGUAGGCAAUCUACCUUCGGGUGCGGAAUACUCCCAGAAAUAUGGGCUAUUACCGGAUUAUGCAUCUCCACCAACUAGUAUGUAGAUCAAAUCCUCGUAACGCCUAUAGAUUAGCUCGCGUGGGGUUACUAGGUUGCGUGAGUGUAAAGAGCCCUCCAAGGCUACGAUCAGAAGGUGUCUGAGAUGAUCAUCAGCCACACUGGAACUGAGACACUGUCCAUAAUCCACGGGAGGCAGCUUUGAGGAAUAUGGGUCAGUGGUCCAAAGACUGAGGCGAAACGCUGAUUGAAGGAUGAAUGUUGUAAGAGUAGAAACUCCUG
rnacentral:rRNA from 1 species